UUAACUGCUACGCGCAUUUUUCGGCAUUUUAAUCAAUCUUUGUGCGACUUGAUUAUUAUUUUUCGUAGUCAUUAUAGCGUUUGAAACGGCAAAAUCUCAACAUGACGAAACGAUGAUUCCGUUAUACAUUGACGGAAUACAAUAUUGACACCUCAGCAAAUAGACUGAUAACAUGAUGUGGACAUUUGUAGCAGUUAUAACCCUAUGCUUCUGUGUGCAAAUUUCAACACAACAUGGGGCAUACCCACCUGGGGUGCCUCCUCCAAAUAAUGCUCAUGGUCAUGCCCCUCCAGUCGGCCACCAGGGCGGGUCAGCAGCAACAACAACAGAAUUUACAGUUCCAACAAGGGCAGCAUGGCCAGCAGGGACAAGCACAAUUCAACCAAGGUAACACUCAGCAGUUCCAGCAACCAGGGGGUCAUCAUCAGGCUGCCCAUGGAGGGUUCGGUCAUGAAAGUGCCCAUGACGCAAGUCACAUAAAAGAGCAUUUAAAGGAUGUUGUAGACAAACCUAAAGAGGAAAUGAGUGAAGAGGAAUUAGAAUUUCACUAUUUCAAAUUACAUGAUUAUGAUAAAAACAACAAGUUGGAUGGAGUAGAAAUCGUAAAAGCUAUUACACAUUUUCAUGCUGAUGAGGGUCAUGAAGAAACAGAUCAACAACGUCAGGAGAGAAAAGUUUUUUCUGACGACGAACUCAGCAACAUUGUUGACCUAGUUCUGCAAGAAGAUGACCUAGAUAAAGACGGAUACAUUGAGUAUGUAGAAUUUGUUACAGCACAGCGUAAGGCCCGCGAGCAGGCACAGAAUGAGAAACCUCAGCAGUAAGCAACAAAACAACGCCGCAGCUCUAGAAAAUGUGUUGGAAAGUCUUGGGAUAUCUUAUUUGAUAGUAUCUUAAUCUAGUCGAUAUUUAUGAGGAGGAUUCACUUAACGUUUUUAUGUCUGCUUUUCUUUGUUUAUCUCUUGUGUAAAGAAAAUAUCAUUUGUUGAUUUUUGGUAAAUUUAUAUUCCAGGAUGACAAAAUAUUGUAACUUUUUCUUUUGGCUCAAAAUUAUUGAAAUUAUUUUAUGAUUGACUACCAUUGUAUUACUUUAAUCAGUGGGUAUUUUUUCAAUUCAUGCACCACUUUAGGAAAAAUCAAAGUUUAAACAUGAAGACCUUGCAAUCUCUAUGUAUUAUCUCAUGAUG
rnacentral:sRNA from 1 species